AAAUAUAUAUUUAAUAACCAAUCAAUAAUUGAUAUGAUGAAAUGAAAAUUUUUGCGGUUUCUCUCUCUUCUCUCGUAUAUUUUAAAAGGGAGAAACCCUUUUGCUUCGCCGUCUGGUAGGAAUACGGUUUAGGUCUAGCAUCAUCUAGUCUGUUGCGGUGAUGGCUAGCUUUCUUCCGGCAUAGGUGGCUCUGUUUAGCGCCUUGGGUCGGCUCUGUUUCCGGCAUAGGUGGCUUUGAUUAGCACUUGUGGUCGGCUCUGUUUCCGGCAUAGGUGGCUUUGAUUAGCACUUGUGGUCGGCUCUGUUUCCGGCAUAGGUGGCUUCGAUUUGCACCUAUGGUCGGCUCUGUUUUUGGUACCGUUCAGCUUCUUCAGUGACGAUAGCCAGCUUUUUCUCCAGAAGUUUUUUCAGCAGGCCUACGUUUGGUGAGCAAAAUUUUUUGAAGAUUCAAAAGUUGUUGUUUGAAGACAAAGAUGAAAAAGAUUUGCUUUAAGUUGAGUCAUACUCUCAUCAAUGCUUAAAUUGAAAUUUCGCUUUAUUCUCUGGGCGAAGAUUGAGAUCUUUUCGUAAAUUUUCCGGUGAUCUCGGCCGGAAUUGAAGUUUGUCGGCGUCAGAACUCUCUGCCAAGACUCCAACCUCUUCAUCUUCUCAUGUGUUAUCCAACCUGUUUCUCUAUUGCCACGUCUUUUAUGUGCUGUUAUACAACGCUUUCUCUUCAGUGAAGGUUUCCUUAAUUGGGUUUUUUUUUUUUUUUUGUUUAUCUAGAUUUGUUUACUUAGUCUUUUUACUUUGUUUGUUUGUAAUAUCGGCCUGUCACAUUUGGCUUCUAUCAUCAAUAAAACUAGGUCUCGGCAUUUGGGUGUUCGGAUCGGGUUCAGGUU